UUAGGCUAUGGGGAUAUGUACCCCCAAACAUGGUCAGGGAUGUUGGUGGGGGCCUUGUGUGCUCUGGCUGGAGUGCUGACCAUAGCUAUGCCUGUGCCCGUCAUUGCCAACAAU
rfam:Rat potassium channel Kv3.2c mRNA.